UGAAAAGACAGUGUUGCCCUACA
rnacentral:snRNA from 1 species